rnacentral:rRNA from 1 species
UACGGAGGAUGCAAGCGUUAUCCGGAAUGAUUGGGCGUAAAGCGUCCGCAGGUGGCUAUGUAAGUCUGCUGUUAAAGAGUGAGGCUCAACCUCAUAAAAGCAGUGGAAACUACAUGGCUAGAGUGUGUUCGGGGCAGAGGGAAUUCCUGGUGUAGCGGUGAAAUGCGUAGAGAUCAGGAAGAACACCGGUGGCGAAAGCGCUCUGCUAGGCCGCAACUGACACUGAGGGACGAAAGCUAGGGGAGCGAAUGGG